UUUUCCCUGCGUUGUUGGUGAUGAAUAGGCUGUUUUGAGCUUACAAGCACAAUUUUGGGAAUCUGCGUUCUCUAUAACUUUGGUUAUAGGACAGGAUACCCACUUAGAAAUUAGUGCUUUAAACAUCUUAUUUAAACGGCAAUCGCGGGGAUUUU
rnacentral:other from 3 species